GACGAACGCUGGCGGCGUGCUUAACACAUGCAAGUCGAACGGAGUGGCGAACGGGUGAGUAACACGUGAGUAACCUGCCCUUGACUUCGGGAUAACUUCAGGAAACUGGGGCUAAUACCGGAUAGUUUUGGAUGCACUCGCGGCUUAUCAGCUUGUUGGUGGGGUUGUGGCUUACCAAGGCUUUGACGGGUAGCCUGCCUGUGAGGGCGACGGGCCACAUUGGGACUGAGGUAGGGACCAGACGCCUACGGGAGGCAGCAGUGGGGAAUAUUGCGCAAUGGGCGGAAGCCUGAUGCAGAAACUCCGGGUGCGGAAGGCCGGCCUUGGGGUUGUAAACCGCUUUCAGCAGGGGCGCGGUACCUGCAGAAGAAGCACCGGCUAACUACGUGCCAGCAGCCGCGGUAAUAC
rnacentral:rRNA from 1 species